rnacentral:rRNA from 1 species
ACCCGCUGAAUUUAAGCAUAUCAAUAAGCGGAGGAAAAGAAACCAACAGGGAUUGCCUUAGUAACGGCGAGUGAAGCGGCAAAAGCUCAAAUUUGAAAUCGGCCACCAGGUCGAGUUGUAAUUUGUAGAUUGUAUCUUGAGAGCGGAUUAAAGUCUGUUGGAACACAGCGCCUUAGAGGGUGACAGCCCCGUAAAAUCUAUUCUCAUUGUAAGAUACUUUCGAAGAGUCGAGUUGUUUGGGAAUGCAGCUCUAAGUGGGAGGUAAAUUCCUUCUAAAGCUAAAUAUUGACGAGAGACCGAUAGCGAACAAGUACUGUGAAGGAAAGAUGAAAAGCACUUUGAAAAGAGAGUGAAAAAGUACGUGAAAUUGUUAAAAGGGAAGGGUAUUGAAUCAGACUUGGUGCUGUUGUUCAACUGUGUUUCGGCAUAGUGUACUCAGCAGUACUAGGCCAAGGUGGGGUGUUUGGGAGUGAAAAAGAAGUAGGAACGUAACUCUUCGGAGUGUUUUAGCCUACUUUCAUAGCUCCUCAGGCGCCUCAGGACUGCGCUUCGGCAAGGACCUUGGCAUAAUGAUUCUAUACCGCCCGUCUUGAAACACGACCAAGGAG